ACCCCGAACAGGGGAGUGAAAUAGAACCUGAAACCAUACGCUUACAACCUGUCGGAGCAGCUUCGUGCUGUGACGGCGUGCCUAUUGAAUAAUGAGCCUACGAGUUACUAAUCACUGGCGAGGUUAAGUGCACGGAUGCACGGAGCCGAAGCGAAAGCGAGUCUUAAUAGGGCGUUUAGUCAGUGGUUGUAGACGCGAAACCUUGCGAUCUACCCUUGAGCAGGUUGAAGGUUGGGUAAAACCAACUGGAGGACCGAACGAAUAAGCGUUGAAAAGCUUCUCGAUGACUUGAGGGUAGGGGUGAAAGGCUAAUCAAGCUGGGAAAUAGCUCGUACUCCCCGAAAUGCCUUUAGGGGCAGCGUUGUAAUAAAGAGUCUACUGGAGGUAGAGCUACUGAUUGGAUGCGGGGGCUUCACCGCCUACCAAAUCCUGACAAACUCCGAAUGCCAGUAGUAUGAUUUACAGCAGUGAGCGACCGGGUGCUAAUGUCCGGUCACAAAAGAGGAACAACUCAGACCAGCAACUAAGGUCCCCAAGAGUAUACUAAGUUGAUCUAACGAUGUUUUGUUGCAGAGACAGCUAGGAUGUUAGCUUGGAAGCAGCUAUUCAUUCAAAGAGUGCGUAACAGCUCACUAGUCGAGCGACAAAGCGUGGAUAAUAAACGGGCAUCAAGUAUACCACCGAAGUUCUGGGCACGAAAGUGCGGUAGGGGAGCAUUCCAUUCAGCGUCGAAGCCGAAUCGUGAGAUUUGGUGGAGCGUAUGGAAAAGCAAAUGUAGGCAUGAGUAACGAUAAUGCGGGAGAGUAACCCGCACACCGCAAGACCAAGGUUUCCUGAUCAACGCUAAUCGGAUCAGGGUUAGUCGGGUCCUAAGGGUAAGCCGAACGGUGAUCUCGAUGGAUAAUCGGUUAAUAUUCCGAUACUGACAUAUACCUCGAUGGAGAGACGAAGGAACGUAAGUGCCGCCGCCUGACGGAAUAGGUGGUUAAAGGGCGUAGGUAUAGGGACAGAUUAAGAGUUAGUCCUUGCUGAACCCCGACAGUACAGAGAGCCUACGGGCAAUUUGAUAGUGCACCCAAGUCGACUUCCGAGAAAAUCUUCUAAGUUAUAGUAUAUGUCACCCGUACCGUAAACCGACACAGGUGGUCGAGGAGAGUAUCCUAAGGUGCUCGAGUGAAUCACGGUUAAGGAACUAGGCAAAUUAACCCCGUAACUUCGGGAAAAGGGGUCCCACCGCGAGGUGGGCGCAGCGAAGAGGUCCAGGCGACUGUUUAUCAAAAACACAGGGCUCUGCAAAUUCGAAAGAAGACGUAUAGGGCCUGACACCUGCCCGGUGCUGGAAGGUUAAGAGGGGAUGUCAUCGCAAGAGAAGCAUUGAAUCGAAGCCCCAGUAAACGGCGGCCGUAACUAUAACGGUCCUAAGGUAGCGAAAUUCCUUGUCGGGUAAGUUCCGACCUGCACGAAUGGUGUAACGAUCUGGACACUGUCUCAACCGUGAGCUCGGUGAAAUUGUAGUCCCGGUGAUGAUGCCGGGUACCCGCAACGGGACGAAAAGACCCCGUGAACCUUUACUAUAGCUUAACGCUGAAUUUGGGUACACAAUGUGUAGGAUAGGCAGGAGACUAUGAAGCGGGUACGCCAGUAUUCGUGGAGUCAACGUUGAAAUACUGCCCUUUGUGUAUUUGAGUUCUAACCCUCAAGAGGGGACACCGUUUGGUGGGUAGUUUGACUGGGGUGGUCGCCUCCAAAAGAGUAACGGAGGCUUCCCAAGGUACCCUCAGCACGAAUGGUAACCGUGCGUAGAGUGCAAUAGCAUAAGGGUGCUUGACUGUGAGACCAACAAGUCGAUCAGGUGCGAAAGCAGGGUAUAGUGAUCCGGUGGUUCUGCGUGGACUGGCCAUCGCUCAAAGGAUAAAAGGUACUCCGGGGAUAACAGGCUGAUCGCCGCCAAGAGCUCAUAUCGACGCGGCGGUUUGGCACCUCGAUGUCGGCUCGUCACAUCCUGGGGCUGGAGAAGGUCCCAA
rnacentral:rRNA from 1 species